ACACGUAGGUUCUAGUCCGAGAGUCCCUGAGGUGUUGUACUUGAUAUCUUGUCGGCAAGUAGGUUCGAGUCGGAGAAUCCUUCGACGCAGACUGAUAUAUAUACGACUACUAAUAUACGGGACUUGCCAAAUAUCGAGUAUAUUUCCCGAGCAGCGUAUUGGCCUACGGGACAAGAAACUCAGAAGAAGGAAGAACACGCCUACGGGACAAGAAACUCAGAAGAAGGAAGAACACGCCUACGGGUCAAGAAAGUUCAGAAGGAGGAAGAUCACGCGCCGACAACAUGUUGGGGUUCGUGUUCCGGCGUCUGCUGCACCGCGGGAUCUUGGCCGGCCGCCGUGUGGCCACGGUGCCACCGCCAGCUCCUCGUCCUCGUCUCUUCUCCAUCAGCCACCUUCCUCAGGGUCAUCGGCCACCGGUCCAACCGACGCUUCUCAUGCCUGAAGUCAACGCAGCGACGCCAUCGUUGGGGUAGGCUGUACUUCUUCCUCGCUUUAAGCGGAUACUACAUCGUUGAUCAACGCAUGAGACAGCAUAAGGAGAAAGCAAUGGACGGUUCCACCAUAGACACUUUCGGUUCGUCUUGUCCAUAGUAUGAAGUAGGAGGUUGUUUCUAAAACACUGUAAUUUUUGAAGUAAUGAAGUAAGGGUUU